rnacentral:rRNA from 1 species
UUUAUGGAGAGUUUGAUCCUGGCUCAGAGUGAACGCUGGCGGCGUGCCUAAUACAUGCAAGUCGAACGAUGAAGCUUCUAGCUUGCUAGAAUGCUGAUUAGUGGCGCACGGGUGAGUAACGCAUAGGUCAUGUGCCUCUUAGUUUGGGAUAGCCAUUGGAAACGAUGAUUAAUACCAGAUACUCCCUACGGGGGAAAGAUUUAUCGCUAAGAGAUCAGCCUAUGUCCUAUCAGCUUGUUGGUAAGGUAAUGGCUUACCAAGGCUAUGACGGGUAUCCGGCCUGAGAGGGUGAACGGACACACUGGAACUGAGACACGGUCCAGACUCCUACGGGAGGCAGCAGUAGGGAAUAUUGCUCAAUGGGGGAAACCCUGAAGCAGCAACGCCGCGUGGAGGAUGAAGGUUUUAGGAUUGUAAACUCCUUUUGUUAGAGAAGAUAAUGACGGUAUCUAACGAAUAAGCACCGGCUAACUCCGUGCCAGCAGCCGCGGUAAUACGGAGGGUGCAAGCGUUACUCGGAAUCACUGGGCGUAAAGAGCGCGUAGGCGGGAUAGUCAGUCAGGUGUGAAAUCCUAUGGCUUAACCAUAGAACUGCAUUUGAAACUACUAUUCUAGAGUGUGGGAGAGGUAGGUGGAAUUCUUGGUGUAGGGGUAAAAUCCGUAGAGAUCAAGAGGAAUACUCAUUGCGAAGGCGACCUGCUGGAACAUUACUGACGCUGAUUGCACGAAAGCGUGGGGAGCAAACAGGAUUAGAUACCCUGGUAGUCCACGCCCUAAACGAUGGAUGCUAGUUGUUGGAGGGCUUAGUCUCUCCAGUAAUGCAGCUAACGCAUUAAGCAUCCCGCCUGGGGAGUACGGUCGCAAGAUUAAAACUCAAAGGAAUAGACGGGGACCCGCACAAGCGGUGGAGCAUGUGGUUUAAUUCGAAGAUACACGAAGAACCUUACCUAGGCUUGACAUUGAGAGAAUCCGCUAGAAAUAGUGGAGUGUCUGGCUUGCCAGACCUUGAAAACAGGUGCUGCACGGCUGUCGUCAGCUCGUGUCGUGAGAUGUUGGGUUAAGUCCCGCAACGAGCGCAACCCCCUUUCUUAGUUGCUAACAGGUUAUGCUGAGAACUCUAAGGAUACUGCCUCCGUAAGGAGGAGGAAGGUGGGGACGACGUCAAGUCAUCAUGGCCCUUACGCCUAGGGCUACACACGUGCUACAAUGGGGUGCACAAAGAGAAGCAAUACUGCGAAGUGGAGCCAAUCUUCAAAACACCUCUCAGUUCGGAUUGUAGGCUGCAACUCGCCUGCAUGAAGCUGGAAUCGCUAGUAAUCGCAAAUCAGCCAUGUUGCGGUGAAUACGUUCCCGGGUCUUGUACUCACCGCCCGUCACACCAUGGGAGUUGUGUUUGCCUUAAGUCAGGAUGCUAAAUUGGCUACUGCCCACGGCACACACAGCGACUGGGGUGAAGUCGUAACAAGGUAACCGUAGGUGAACCUGCGGUUGGAUCACCUCCUUUCUAGA